UACGGAGGGGGCUAGCGUUGUUCGGAAUUACUGGGCGUAAAGCGUGCGUAGGCGGCUUUGUAAGUCAGAGGUGAAAGCCCAGAGCUCAACUCUGGAAUUGCCUUUAAGACUGCAUCGCUUGAAUCGUGGAGAGGUUAGUGGAAUUCCGAGUGUAGAGGUGAAAUUCGUAGAUAUUCGGAAGAACACCAGUGGCGAAGGCGACUAACUGGACACGUAUUGACGCUGAGGUACGAAAGCGUGGGGAGCAAACAGG
rnacentral:rRNA from 1 species